rfam:Gossypium hirsutum cultivar TM-1 unplaced genomic scaffold scaffold1659.1, whole genome shotgun sequence
UGUUAAAAAAUUUAUCCAUUUCUAUUAUUAAAAGCUGGCAUGACUGACAGAAUAAUCAAACAGUGACACGUGACGUCCCACGUGUACCUCUUGUUGACAUACAUGAAAUAAUUUUUAACAAUAGAAACGAAUGAAACUUUUAAUA